rnacentral:rRNA from 1 species
UACGGAGGGAGCUAGCGUUAUUCGGAAUUACUGGGCGUAAAGCGCACGUAGGCGGCUUUGUAAGUAAGAGGUGAAAGCCCAGAGCUCAACUCUGGAAUUGCCUUUUAGACUGCAUCGCUUGAAUCAUGGAGAGGUCAGUGGAAUUCCGAGUGUAGAGGUGAAAUUCGUAGAUAUUCGGAAGAACACCAGUGGCGAAGGCGGCUGACUGGACAUGUAUUGACGCUGAGGUGCGAAAAGCGUGGGGGAGCAAACAGG